rnacentral:tRNA from 1 species
GCCUGGGUGGCUCAGUCGGUUGAGCAUCCGACUUCGGUUCAGGUCAUGAUCUCACAGUUUGUGGGUUCGAGACCCACAUCAGGCU